ACAAAUUCACUAAUUGACCUUCAUACAAAAAAAUCUCACUUUGUGGUCUUAUUUUCGUGGACAGAUGUUGUUAACCGAACGUAGAAAACGUAAAAAUAAUGCCUGAAACUAGAUCCACGACACAGACAAGAAAAAACAACUUUGUUUUAAGGUUAUCUUCUGUACUGUUCAACCAAUCCAGUAAAUGUGGAGGAGGAGUUACUAUAGAGCGCCAAGUUAAUGUCCAAAAGCGGAAGUCGUGUCACAUACCUUUCUAUUUCCCCUGAAAACCGGAACAUCCGGUUGUUAGGGACUCAGCAGAGGCUAGGGCGGAGUAAACGCUCUCGCUUUGCCUCUCCCGCUAUACUUUCAAGAGAGGCCACACAGACCGAAGGAGAGUUACCACGUUUUGUGGUGUUGUCAAUAUUCAGACAUGUUCCACAUCUCCUCACUGGCUCCCCUCCAGGGCAAACUGUGACGGUGAUCUGCUAAUGUUUACAAGAUAACAGGCAGUUUGCUGUGAGGGCCCGCUUCAUCAAGGUUCUUCACCGACUGUCUGAUUAUGAACUAAUUUCCAAUUCAUUUUGUUUCAUCAAGCCUACCAGCGUUUGUUCUGUGCUCCUGUCCUUCUCUAAUUACUGUCUGCCUGCCCUGAGCCUGCCUGCCAUUCUGUACCUUGUCACACCAACCUGGAUUACUGACCUCUGCCUGCCCUGAGCCUGCCUGCCGUUCUGUACCUUUUGGACUCUGCUCUGUAUUACUGACCUCUGCAUGCCAUUGACUUGCCGUUUGCCUGCCCCUGCUUUUGUAAUAAACUUUUGUUACUUCAAAACUGUCUGCAUCUGGGUCUUCUCCUGAGCCUUGACAUAUUUGCAGGUCGGAUGUGGCCCAUGAGCCAAGAUUUUCAGACCACAAUGUUGAGGAUAACUAGGCAAUAAUAACUAAUGGUCUUAUCAAAUAUAUAACACAUGUAGGAGAACUCUUGGCCACGGGUAGUGUGUGAAUGCAUCCAAUCCCAGUGGCGGUCCGUCCUGUGCCCAAAGAGAGAACCAGAGGCCGCAAUGUGCAUUCUCCUGUGUAGCAAAAAGAUACACCUCGGCUCUCCCGAAAGUUCCCAUAGCUGGUGGACAAUGUCGGGUUGUAGGCGCUACUCGUCGGGUCAAGGGCCUCCUCUUGACAUGAGGUCCACCCCCACAUUGAGGUGGUCCGGAAUGUGGCGUACCAUCAAUGAAAGAAGACACUUGGUGAGUCCACAGCCACAGUUCCUCCACCAAGGUGUGAAGAGCAGGAGAUCUCACCCCACCUUGGCGGUUCACAUAAGUCACUGUGGUCUGGUUGUCUGAGCAAAUCAACACAUGGUGUCCUCGAUGCAUGGGUGCGAUGUGCCGUAGCUCCAACAAAAACUUUUCUAGUUCUAGGAGGUUGAUGUGGCGUUCUGUUGGAGGCCACACACCUACGAUUACCAGAGCUUGUCAUGUUCCGCUCCAUUCCGAGGACACCCAGACGCGUGAGAUGAGUCACCAGUCGGGUCAUGUGUACGAUCGCCAGCUCUACUGAUGGGGUGAGAACCAGCAGAAGGUCCAAGUAUGCCAGAACCCUGACUUCCUGGCGAUGCAGCGGUUCUAUUGCCGCCUCCACGCAUUUGGAAAAGACGCGAGGUGCUAGGACGUAUCUUGUGUACUCGUAUGCCACUCCUUGGAAAGCAAAGCUCAGAAAUUUCCUGUGAUGCCGAAGCAACGGCACAUGGAAGUACAUGUCCCUCCAGUCGAUGCUCGUGCAGAAGUCUCCCUGCUGGAUAUGCUCCAGAACGCGCUUUGUCGUGAUCAUGCAGAAAAGUCAGACUUGUUUAAAGCCCACAGAUCCAGAAUUGGCCUCACACCACCCUGCCUUUUUUGGCAUGAGAAAAUAGGGUGAGUAGUGCCCGUUGUUUCUCUGCUCUUGGGGAACUACUGUUGCCACCUCCUUCACCAGAAGCUCUGCAAUUUCCUUGUUCAGAACUGUAACCUUCUCUGGUUACGUCAUCACCGUUUCUACAACAAAAGGUGGAGGGGGCAACAAAAUUGAAUGGCGUAACCUCGCCUCAGCGUCCGAUCUAACCAGGUGGGCAGAGGACAGAUUUAACGCCACUCCCAAUAAUGAUCUGAUAGCAGGAGAGCGCAAAGUCGAGGAGCGUUCAGUAGAAAAGGUCUGUAGUCCUCUAUGGCCCUGUCGGUCGCGGCCCUUUGGACUUUGACACAGCCCAUGGGGACCCCCUUGAAAGAGAAAGGAUACCGUGUUACCUUUUGUGUGAACUGAAGGAGUCGGAGUGAUGAUUACAUCCGUAACCCAAGCGUUUGAGCCUGUCGAGAACACAGUGUGUGUGGGCCCAAUGCCCAUACUUGGCAUGAUUAGAAGUGGAACCUGUAGUGCAGGGGCCGUAGAAUAGCCAUAUGUGGUAACAAAGACGCUGUUUUACUAGACCUGGAAGGGUAAUCACCAUUGACCGCACUCCCGAGGGGGUUGUGGUGAGUGAGGGACAAACCCGCUCUACCCCUGCAUCUGUGUGCACGAGAGGACCAGCUACAGCACUAGACGCGGAGUGAGGUAAGGAUACCGGUGGUGGCAAGCCUUCUGAGCCGUAACCAAGAGAGAGGAAGGAACGUCAUCAUCUCUGGAAGAGCCCUCAGAACCUGAGAGUGAGUAUAAAACGCUUGAGGGGACAUGCACACUGAAAAAUGCCAAGUGUUUCCGCUGCAUCUUGGAGGACAGCAGGGCGCAGCUGUGGGCUCAAGCAAACAAAUCACAUGUGAGUCCAUGAGUUCAUCUGACUCUGGGGAAGUAGAUAAAGGGCCUCAUUGCCAAAAUCCUGAAGUAUCCUUUUAAAAGAGCUUUUGGUGGUGGCUUCUUGCUCAUGAUAUAUGACGCAGUGACUGGAUCAAUUUGGCAGGAUCGUCUUGAGACUUGCAAUUCCUCAGACAAAUCUUCAGUCACGCUGAAGAAAGUGGGAGGCUGACUGUAGAGACACGCUCCUAUAUAUAGGGGGAGCUGUACUCCCAUUGGCUGGAGUGCAUGCAUAAUUAUUUUGUCAGGCUAUUGGCUGCCUAGGCAGUGGGCUAGACCACAAGCAGAAAAGCCCCACGAUACAGAACAAGCUGCACAUAAUGAACAUGGAUAUUAGCGUCAGUGUAAUUGGUGUGCCACGUCAGUGCAAGUAUUUGAUGUGGACAUGCGAGAGGAUGACAGCACUGCAACUGGACAGGAAGUGCAGGACAAAUUUCCAUCCGUGUCUUACUAAUGGCUUUUUUCUGAUAUCAGGCAUAGCAUUGGUGUUUAUCCUCAACAUGAAACAGCUACAGUACAUUAGCAGGCUUCAUUUACAUAAGUGAAACAUUUGUGUGUGUGUGUGUGCGCGUGUCUUUAUCUACUAAUUAGGAAGACUUCCCGCAUGAUAACAAAACUUGAAUCACCCGUUCUCAUUCUGUACAAUAGAUUAAAGUGAGCUAAAAUAAAUCAAUCUCUGCCUUUUUUGUUGAGUGCUUCAACUUCUUUCUGCCUCGAAUGAGUCCUUUUGGAAGUUUUUCUUGGUAAGCCCAUCUCAUCCCUCUACCAAUAACUCGACUGUAGUCAGUGAUAACAGGAUGUUGUUUUCCACUACUGCCCUCCAAACAACACAAAAAUACCAGGUAAAGAUGAUCUAUGUACUUAGACAUACAGGCUCUGCUGGAUUUCUAGUUAUCACACAUCCUUCCAAUAAUCUAUUUGUCAGCAGCACGGGGUAAAACAUGUAUAUAAAUCUCAAGGUGAAACUGAUGUGUAAAAGCCUAUCUGUUUACUUUCUAAACAAAGGAAUUAAAGGACAACAUUCCAAGGCCUAUUGAUAGCCUAAUAAUAGCUUAUUAUAACAUAUUUAAUAAAUGUCCAAUACAUAGGCCCUACAACACAUAUUUUUUAGAUAACGAUUCUUAAAUGUGAUUUAUUAAAUUGAAUAAAACUUAACUUCGCAAUACAGCACUUUUUAAAAUUGUUAUUAUAUAUACAUUUUAUAUUUCCCCUCACUCCAGAUACAAACUUAUACAUACAAACAACAACUUACAGAGGACCACAAACAAUGACUAAAUCUCAUCUGCCCAGACCCACAUGCUCACACCCCUAUCCCUAGUGCCUGCAUUAUUGUUUGCCACUUGACCUUAAAUUGUACAAAUUCAUUUUCUCGGUCGCCCAUGCUAUUUCAAUAUUUCAAUAAUAAAUCAUUAGAUUUUUUAACUAUACGUUAAUGAUGGCAGAUUGAUUGAUUUUCACAUUUUUAGUAUAAGUUAUUUCAAGAUGAGUGAUGAAAAGAUAAUCAUCCAGCCCAAAGAGGCCCACAGUGGAGGUGUCAAGAUACCAAUGAAACCUAGAGGUCAGGUUCCGGUCGCAUUCCGCUUCGCUCCACAGGUAGUAUCACAUUUUCAUUUCAUUUCAUUACAGUCCCAACGGUGUGAUUUGUUUGAUCGUAGCUAGCUACA